GACGAACGCUGGCGGCGUGCUUAACACAUGCAAGUCGAACGAAGAGCGACGGAAGCUUGCUUCUAUCAAUCUUAGUGGCGAACGGGUGAGUAACGCGUAAUCAACCUGCCCUUCAGAGGGGGACAACAGUUGGAAACGACUGCUAAUACCGCAUACGAUCUAAUCUCGGCAUCGAGGAUGGAUGAAAGGUGGCCUCUACAUGUAAGCUAUCACUGAAGGAGGGGAUUGCGUCUGAUUAGCUAGUUGGAGGGGUAACGGCCCACCAAGGCGAUGAUCAGUAGCCGGUCUGAGAGGAUGAACGGCCACAUUGGGACUGAGACACGGCCCAGACUCCUACGGGAGGCAGCAGUGGGGAAUCUUCCGCAAUAGACGAAAGUCUGACGGAGCAACGCCGCGUGAGUGAUGACGGCCGUCGGGUUGUAAAGCUCUGUUAAUCGGGACGAAAGGCCUUCUUGCGAAUAGUGAGAAGGAUUGACGGUACCGGAAUAGAAAGCCACGGCUAACUACGUG
rnacentral:rRNA from 1 species